CUGGGAUCCUGGAGGUGUCUGUGCAUUUCUGGCUGGUAGCAGAAAAGAACCAGAAAUUUCUGGGUAUGGAAAACUAGAGCACAGAACGAUUAGUGCUUGUCUCAGGAACUUGCUUGGGGGCUUCCCCAGCCACUUCUCUGCUCCUCAAAGCAGGAAAAAAUGCUUGCCAACAUUUUGGUAUCAUUUUUAAUUGGCUUGGAAAUUUAAUCAGAAUAAUGUCAGGUAUGGAAACUUCCACCUGGGAUUAAAGCAUCAGUGAAGAUACGGCUUUGCAGGGAUUCAGAUUUUAGAGAAGAAAGGAGGUCAUGAGAGCUCAUUACUGGAUCAGUGAAGUGGU